CCUACGGGGGGCAGCAGUGGGGAAUAUUGCACAAUGGGCGCAAGCCUGAUGCAGCCAUGCCGCGUGUGUGAAGAAGGCCUUCGGGUUGUAAAGCACUUUCAGCGGGGAGGAAGGCGUUAAGGUUAAUAACCUUGUCGAUUGACGUUACCCGCAGAAGAAGCACCGGCUAACUCCGUGCCAGCAGCCGCGGUAAUACGGAGGGUGCAAGCGUUAAUCGGAAUUACUGGGCGUAAAGCGCACGCAGGCGGUCUGUCAAGUCGGAUGUGAAAUCCCCGGGCUCAACCUGGGAACUGCAUUCGAAACUGGCAGGCUAGAGUCGUGUAGAGGGGGGUAGAAUUCCAGGUGUAGCGGUGAAAUGCGUAGAGAUCUGGAGGAAUAUCGGUGGCGAAGGCGGCCCCCUGGACAAAGACUGACGCUCAGGUGCGAAAGCGUGGGGAGCAAACAGGAUUAGAUACCCGGGUAGUC
rnacentral:rRNA from 1 species